GACGAACGCUGGCGGCGUGCCUAAUACAUGCAAGUCGAACGCAGAAGGAGGAGCUUGCUUCUCUGGAUGAGUUGCGAACGGGUGAGUAACGCGUAGGUAACCUGCCUGGUAGCGGGGGAUAACUAUUGGAAACGAUAGCUAAUACCGCAUAAGAGUAGAUGAUGCAUGACAUUUGCUUAAAAGAUGCAAUUGCAUCACUACCAGAUGGACCUGCGUUGUAUUAGCUAGUUGUUGGGGUAACGGCUCACCAAGGCGACGAUACAUAGCCGACCGGAGAGGGGGGUCGGGCACACUGGGACCUGGACACGGCCCAGACUCCCACGGGAGGCAGCAGGAGGGGAUCUUCGGCAAUGGACGGAAGUCUGACCGAGCAACGCCGCGUGAGGGAAGAAGGUUCUCGGAUCGUAAAGCUCUGGUGUAAGAGAAGAACGAGUGUGAGAGUGGAAAGUUCACACUGUGACGGUAUCUUACCAGAAAGCGACGGCUAACUACGUG
rnacentral:rRNA from 1 species